AGCGAACGCUGGCGGCAGGCCUAACACAUGCAAGUCGAACGAACCUUUCGGGGUUAGUGGCGGACGGGUGAGUAACACGUGGGAACGUGCCUUUAGGUUCGGAAUAACUCAGGGAAACUUGUGCUAAUACCGAAUGUGCCCUUCGGGGGAAAGAUUUAUCGCCUUUAGAGCGGCCCGCGUCUGAUUAGCUAGUUGGUUGAGGUAAUGGCUCACCAAGGCGACGAUCAGUAGCUGGUCUGAGAGGAUGAUCAGCCACAUUGGGACUGAGACACGGCCCAAACUCCUACGGGAGGGAGCAGUGGGGAAUCUUGCGCAAUGGGCGAAAGCCUGACGCAGCCAUGCCGCGUGAAUGAUGAAGGUCUUAGGAUUGUAAAAUUCUUUCACCGGGGACGAUAAUGACGGUACCCGGAGAAGAAGCCCCGGCUAACUUCGUG
rnacentral:rRNA from 1 species